AUUUUCUUUGUUUAUUAAGUCUUAAUUAAAAAAAAAAGAUACAUUGCGAGAAUCGGUCUGAAAUUUGUUUAUCUAUGUAUUGGUAUAAACCGGUAUAAUCCAGUUAUUGAUAGCGUCAGUUUUAACAUGGGUCAAAUGUAAACAUGACCCAAGUUAUCACUUUUUGAUUAUAUUCAUUUGAAACAAAUGUCUCUAAUUUACAAUAAUCGAUAUCACCCGACUUUCACAAACAAAACAAAAAAAAAAACAAAAAAUAAAUAAACGUUCACUGUCAAUGAAAAUAACAUUUACACAAACAUCUAUUUAUACUCAUGUAAACAUUGAAUGUACG
rnacentral:lncRNA from 1 species